rnacentral:tRNA from 1 species
GCGCCCGUAGCUCAGUCGGAUAGAGCACCUGCCUUCUAAGCAGGGGGUCGGCCGUUCGAAUCGGCCCGGGCGCA